GAGGGGUUGCAGUGGGGAGGGGUGUGUGAGGUGUGUGCCCAUCCUGUCAGAGGUGGAAGGGCACUUUUGUUUUUAUUUGCUGUUGUCAAAAGUGGUUUCUCUUCUUUAGCUAACAUUGAUUGUGUCUUGCUCCAGUGGGAGAGAAUACAAAAACAACCCCCUCCUUCCUCCAAUAAGGCGCCAGGGAAAGAGACAGAAAGAGGCACACUUUUUAGAUGUCACUUAAAAAAUUUCAGUUGAAGAGCUAUUUACCUAUUUCCCCAAGAAAAGCUCCACUGCAUUUGUUUCUGAGUGGGAAAAUGUCGGGAUUGGGAUUGUAUUGAAACUGCUUACCCAUUUGUAGACCUGAGUGUUUUCCCCUUUUUGGUUCUGUAUGUGAUUUGGAUAUGGACUUAAGUGUUGGAACAGACUUGUUUGGUUUUUGCUCUCUGGGUAAAUUUUUCUUUUUUCGUUUUGUCUGACCUGUAUAGAAAUUUUCAAAAUUUUAGUUGAUAGAGGCCAUACGUUAGGUUUUCACUUGUAUUACUGCUUUUUUUGUUAAAUAUUUGAUUGCUAUAUCACCGUAUAAAGUUCAAAGCUUAUACUGCUUAAAGUUUAAAUACCACUGGUAUUGUCUCUACCCACAUACGUUCCUAAUAUUUUCCAUAAGAUAAGAAUGUUAGCUAUUUCAUAAUUAAUCUGGGUAUUUUUCUAAUCUUUGUAACUUGCCUGAACAAGUAAUCCCCAUUGAAAACUUUAUGUUGUUCAGGCUUCAUGGAAGGCCAAACCUCUCCAUCAAUAGUUUGCUGGAUUGGUACCACUUUCAGUUUUAACUGAAUUAUUUAUUUACUGUUGUAAAUUGAGAGGAGUUUUUCAUCUCUUGGGGUACUGAACCAAAUUGCUCACUAUACAUGAAGGGGGGCAUAUUUCUAAAAUGUGUUUUCCUGACACAAAAAAAUAAUGAAGUACUUGGUAUAUUCAUGGUAAUUAUAUAUAAAUUGAAAGAUGAAUCCAGGUUUAGGCUUAUAGAGUAACAAUCUUGAUAAAAAUCACUAUUCUUUCUUUUUACAUGACAUGUUCUUAGUGAAAUGGCUUUCAAAUUCAGUGCUGCAUUUUAUUUCACAAAAGCUAGAAAGUGUAUUUCUGAGUAGGCCUUUCAUUAGGUCUUACAUGAGCGAGUAGUAUUUUGUUUCGUACAUACAUUUCUUUAUGCUUUCCUUGAAGAUGGAUGCAACACAUAUACAUGCACAUUCUCUCUCUCUCUCUCUCUCUUUCUGUGUGUGUAUCUCACACCCUUUUUUGUUACUACACUGGUAUCUCUGAUCCCAUAAUUUAUGUCAUCAAAAAAUAUUUUUCUGUAAAGCAGCAAUUUUGUGAUCAGACUGGCAAUAUGAAAACAGCAAUUUGAUCAACUAGAAAGGAUUGAAGAAAAAUCUAGAAGGAUGUUUGACAUAAAUAUGAUAAAGACAUGAUAAUACUUUUAAUUUUUUAUUAUCUUGAAAAUAAAGCCAAAACAUUAUACACUUAUAUUUUAAUGGUAGAAAAGCAUUGCAUAUGUAGAAAUUUGUCCUGUAAAAUUUUAAUUAUCAACUCUGCAAAAGCAGACAUUUGCACACAGGGAAAAAAAAGCUGUGUAGCAGUAAACAAUAUGAUCUUAUUUCUCUCCUUUCUGUUACAAAUUUGAAUAGUUCCUUGCAUUUCUCUGAGGUAUAAAUGGUGCACUUAAGCAGAAAUAUGUGCCAAGUUCAAGUUUUUCUUCCAAUAUCAAUACUAUUUCAGGUCUACCUACAUCUUCUUCCCUUAAUACUUCAGCAACCUUAAGAGAUAGAAAGUAGAACUUAGUGAAGAAAUCAAUUUUAAGGAAAGCAAAUUGUGUGAAUAAUUGGGGUGGUGGUUGCCCAACUGAGUGAAAAUAUACACUCUUGAGCAUAAUACCUUUACUUACUUUCUGUUUUCCUUUGAAAACAUUUCUUAUCCUACCACCCUCAGGGUUCCCUUAUGUGGUUUGAAGAUUCCAGACUUCCUGUAGGUUGAGUAAUUAUUUACAUUUAGAAAACCUUUCAUUUUUAUUAUGCCUUAUUUUUUAAAUAUACAGAGAUAUUUUAGAAUUGUAAUUUUUAGCAAGGUGAUAUCAUGAAGGUCACUUUAUCCAACUCUUCAUUUUCCAUAUUGCUGAAGUUCAAGAGCUUGAGGAACUUGCCCAGGGUUCCAAGGCCUAAAUGUGGGUGGAACAUGGACCAGAGAACUCAGGUCUCUUGACAUUCACUCUGCUACACUAUAUCACUUUCCUUUAUUAAGGAUUUUAUAUGGAGGCACAUUCUUGUAAGAAUAUUAAGACAAUUAUCAACUUUCCAGUUUUCUAUGGAUAUGAAGAUUUACUCCUAGUCAUCAGUGGGACCCAAUGAAGUCAGCCAGAAAGCCUAUGUCCAACUUAUGUAUCUUUGCAAACUUGUCUGGAUUUUGAAUGUAUAUAUGCAAAACAUACUGUACUUAGCUAUUAAUCAUUAUGCAUCGUUUGAAUAUCUACUGUCUCUCAGGCACUGUACUAGGCACCUGACAAAUAAGGGUGAUUCCUACAAUUAAUGUGAAGAGAUAGCAUAAUUGUAUUCCAGAAGUGUAUUCAUCGUAUUUUUAUUUUGAUGUUUCUACUUAAAUGAAUUUUAUAUAACUAAACAGAUACUGUUAGGUAGAAAAGUGCAUGUUUAAAAAAAGGAUUGCUGUAUUUUA